AUCGCUUCUCAGCCUUUUGGCUAAGAUCAAGUGUAGUAUAGAAGCUUUAUAUGUUUACUCUUAUAUUUAAGUCUAUGAACUAUAU
rnacentral:snRNA from 1 species